rnacentral:lncRNA from 1 species
AGAAGCUGGAAACGAAACGGGAGAAAGAGGAAAGAGAAAAAUAAGAAAAAAAGGGAAGGAAGAGGUAGGUGCCCAUUUUUAGAGUCUGUGUUCUCAAUUUCUCCUCGUAUUCAAUAGGUGAGUAAAAGAUUUUAAUUAAAUCUUUAGGGUUUAUGAAAUAGAUAUUUAUUCAUUGACUUUCUAGGGAUUAUGUGAUGUCAAACAUUUAAAUUAAGAAAUUGACGUUGAUUUCUCCAUUUUUAAGUAAUUAUUAUAAGCAAUUUUUGGACAAAAUCCUACAUAGGUGUUAUUUCUGAAAAUCUGCCCAGAAUAGUGCUAAUUCUAUCAAAGGUUUUGGUGCCAGAUUUCAAUAAAGAAAUUGGUGCCAGAUUUUAAUAAUAUGGGAUUUUAGUGCUGUUUUUGUCUUAUUGUCGAUUUUUCAAAGGUUUUAAUGAAGUUAUAUGACAAGUGUUGAAGUUUAUGCAUUCGAAUAAAUUAUGUAUAGGGGUUGUAUGUGAAUAAGGUAUUGAUUUUAAGGAAGUGCAAGUGAUUUAAUGGAACUGAAAAUGAAUGGUGAUUGGUUGAUAAAUCAUUACAGAGGAGAAAAGUUGGGAAAUUGGAGAUGUAAGAGUAAAUAUAGAAAUUGAGAAGUAGAAUUGUAGUAAUUUAAUUGUCUGAUUUUAAUUUGAGUAAUUAUAUCGAUAUUUCAGGCAGGGAUAUGAAAGCUUGGAAUGACUCAUUAAUUUAGCCCAAUUUCUAUCCAUGGAUCUGUGAGUAGAAAAAUAUAAAUAUUUUUAAAGUAUUUAUGAAUUAAGUAUAUUAUCAAAGUAUGUGCAAUUAUGUGUUCGAAUAAUAUGGUUAUUAUGGAAAUAUCUUUUAUUUUGAUAUAUGUGGGAUUCAAAAAAUUGUAUACGGUACAUUAUGAAUUGGAAUAUGAGUUGUAAUUUUGAAAUCGACUUGAAAAGUACCGUGAUUAUAUAUUUUUUCUAGUUUACCGAGGGCCUUGGUCGUGUUCUAUACUACACUGAGGGAUUGACUAAGGAUGAAGGGAUCAUGACCGUGUACAUAUAGUUCACUGAGAGGCCUUGACCGUGUUCUAGAAUUGAUUAUCAAAAGUCUUUGAGACCCCCUUUCGUUCACGGAGGGGGGCCAAAGGCCCGUGGCGAAAUUACAUAGUUCGAGGGGCGGAUUUCAGAUUUUAGUCAGAGGGUACAUUUUUGGUGGAUCACAUGUGAUGUGAAGAGAUUAUGACAUAGAUAUCAGCAGAUGACUAUAUCUUGAUUAUGAGAUGAUAUUUAUAGUGUUAUGAGAAUGUCUCAAUUCUUGUCUAUAUUUGUACGAGUCUAUCACGUGAAUAUUAAACGAUAUGAACUUGAUGUUGAUAAAAAUGUUUAAAUGAAAAAGUAUAAUUAUUUUUGAACUUCUCCACUCACUUAGCUAUCAACUCAUAUAUUAACUGGAAGAGCCUAAUGAUUUCGGAAUGAGAGCGACACGACAUGUUGAGUGUUAUAACUCAUAUUAAUGAAGCACAAAGUGAAUAAUUUGGCCCCAUCGCAUUAUGUUUUACAUAAGCAUAUGAUUUUGACGCAUUUUUUGAAGUAACUCAUAAUCAGCCUUGGUGAUAGAUUUGACAUCUAGUCAGCAUCUAUCAUCGGUGCACAUCACAUUUUGGAUCCACUCGAGUGAUUCGGGAUGGGUCGUGUCAUAAUGUUCUUAUUAGACUUUCUUGCUUCAACCUAUUCUGUCAUAAUGGGCUCUGUUUUGUUGGAAGAAAAUGGAUGGUAAUUAACAAAUAUAUGGGAAGAAGUAUUAAUUUGUUUUUCUUUAUCUUGUUUUAAUAAAUAUGGUUAGAAUCUCCCUAUAAAUAAAUAUUUGUACGUUAUGGAAAUAAAAUCCCCUUUUACUUUUUCAGUAUUUUCUUGAGAACUCUUUUGUUUUAAGCUCCUUAUAAGUUUAAACAUAUAAAUACUAAGUAGCUACCCUGUCGCAGGCUAGGGAUUGCAUGCAUUGAACUUGCGAAUACAUAUUAUAGGGAUGAAGGGCAAAGAGUUAAAUCACGUCUUGAAAGGAAUAAAUUUGGGUCAAUAGAGUUUCAUAUUCGCUAAUGUUUCAAAGUAAGGGCUAUUUGAUGUGAAUUUUUUGUUGAAUGCAUCUUUGUUUUUGUAAUGAUCCAUUCACUGGUUUGAUCUUUUUUAGAGACAGUAGAUUGGUAUUCUGUGAUACGCACUUUGGCAUGCCACUAUCUUUGCUGUUUUUCUAUGAUCUUCAUAAUUUAUUAUGUACUAUUGAAAACUGUAAAUUAACUAGUAAACUAAACGUAUAAACCAUUUAUAGAAAGAUUUGUUACAUCAUUACUUGUAAAUCGAUUUUUUCCAGGAAAUAGGUAAAAUCAAUUACUACUUCCAAGUUUCAAAAUCAUGCUAAGUCCCACCCCACUACAUUUCCAAACUUUCCACAAUUGCAAUUCUUUAGUUCUUCAUUUUUUAUUUUUUUGAAGAAAUAAAUGAACGAUAAAAAUGUUAAAUGAAAUAUUGUACGAGAAUAUGUCUCUGCAUAUAGAGCCACUGAUGCGAAAUUCCUAGCUUAGAUGAUGGAACGAAGAGCAAAGAGUAGAAGGAAUAUGAUCCAUGUUGAUAAUGAGUAUUGCAUUAUUGAAAUAGUAGCAACUAAAGAAUGUAUCCCCUCCUCCUCCAACAACAACAACAACAACAACAACAACAAUAAUCAUCAUCACCAGAGGGAUUGAGCUAUAUUUUGUUGACUAAUCAAGAGAGUGGUUGUAAAUUUUAUGAUUUUUUGUUUACUGAUGUAAGAAACAUUUCAAAAAGAAUUUUUAUCUUUUCCCCUCUUCUUAUAAUAAAAAUAAAGAAAUGCCCACCUUUGUAUUUGGCUACAUUUUUAUUUUUUAUUUUACUUACACAAAGAGGGAAUUGAUUCUUGAUUACUGGGUCCGUGACCCCAUCGUCUAACUUUUGCCUCACUUGUAGAAGUAGAUAAGUUAAGCUCCUAAAGUAGGCUCAAACAAUUGAUUUUGCAAAUCACCUAAUAAAAUAAAAAUUUGGUCUAAAAUCCGGAUUGUCUCGAGAUUGUGGGGUCCUCUGAGAAAUUUGACUUCUUUUUUUAUACAAAUUCGUUUUAAUCUGAAUCAUUUACAAUUCUCCAUGCCUUAAACCUUCUGGAUUGCCACCUACAACCUGGAUACAAUCCUAUUAUCUGUUUCAUGAUUAUGAUAAUUAUUUAUGCCUCCAUAAGAGAUAAAAGAAUAAAAGUUCUUUCUUGUUCCUUGAGAUUGCACUGCACCAUUGAACUUGGGAUAUUUAUACUCUUUCUAAUAUGCAAUUUUCGGACAACAAAAAACUCUGUUUUGGGUUUUGAUACCCAAUAAUCCGGGCGAUAAUGUUAAAUCGAUGUUGGAUAAAUUUAGUAUCGACAUCCAAGAUUGAUGACCCGACCCUAAAACUAUUUGGGCCAUUGGAAGCAAACUAAUUAAUUAGUGUUGUUCAUGGCCCGAUUUCUACAUUCAUUGGAUGGCUUAUAUAUGUUGGCCUACUUAAGGUAUUUGUAUUGGGCUUGGCCCAUCACCUUAACCUAACCUAACCUAUAUAAGUUGGCCUCUUUGUCUUUGGUAAUAAAAACGUGUGUUUGCCUUUGUGUUUAAGAGAUAAAGUCCCUGUCUCUUGCUUUGUGCACUUGCUUUGUUAGUUUCUUCUUGUUCUUCUCUAGCCUUUGUGGUACUGCCUUUAUGGAUGCAAACACCUUCAUUUUGUGUCCUAACUGGGUACAAAUCUUGAGCAGCCGGAGUGUUAGAAGAGUUUAAAGGUUUUGGGUCGUGAUUGCUUGGGUGUAUUGAUAAGGUUGGGAUUGGUAUCCUACGCUCGAAUUUCCACCAAUUGGAGGUUGAUUAUUCAACACUCUACUAUACAUACAACGAGUAUAAAACUCUAAUUCCUUUAAUAGAUAUAAUUAAGAUGGAUAACCGUAUUCCGUAAUCUUUGACUGGUUAUUCAAUUCUAAAAAAAUUGUUGCUGGUGAAUGAAAUUUUUUGCUUGUUCAGUUUUUAAACAUCGUAGAACUAUUAGAAGGAACAUUAUGUCAUCCAAUUUCUACCUCCAAACUCUUUUUGCUUAUACAUCUGAAUCUAUCAACUUCUAGGUUGCUGUAUAUGCAAAGUUUUACAGAGAUUGUCUUAAAGCUCUGAAGAUGUACGCAGAGGCCUAUCAUGCACUACGAGAGGUAUUACCUUUUUUAUCACAAAUAAAUGUUCUAUAUCUGGAUUUUCUUGUUACCAUUAAUGGAUUUGCCUCGAUAGUCCCAUGGUGGUUGUAUUUAAAAGGUGGACCAAAAGACUAUGGUGCUUAUGAGGCUUGAGAGAAAUGAGCAAAAUGAUGAAUUUUAUUCAUAUAAGCAAAGUGUAUAUAAUGAAGAAAUUAGAUUUCUUCAAAUAGGUUGAGGGCAUAGCACGAUAUCAGAUUCAGUAGAGGACUUUGGUACACGAAACUGCUUUUAACUCCUCCAAGAAAUAAGAGCAUUGCCAAGAAACAUGCACUAUACAGUAACAGAACGUCGAGUAUCUGCACAACCAGCCUAAUCAACAUCACUGUAACCCGUGAACCGUAAAGAAUUCCCAUUAUAAAAUAGUGACCCUCGAUCAGAUGUACCCUUGAAAUAACGAAGAAUUCAUUGGACAGCUACUAAAUAAGAAUGCUAAGGGGCUUGCAUAAACUUACUCUCCUGCCGUACAACGAAGGAAAUAUCUGGUUGGGUAAUUGUCAAAAAAUUCAAACUCCAUACUAGUUGUCGAUAUAAAGAUGGAUCAAGUAAUAAUUCACCCUCUUCCUGACGAAGCUUCAAAUUGAUCUCCAAAGGUGUGAGUAUUGAGUUCCCAGACUAAAUACCAACCAAGGUGAGAAUCUAUUGAGUAUACUUAUGUUGAUGCAAUAUCAUACUAGUGGAACAAGAAUGUACCUCAAGACCAAGAAAAUACUGAAGUGGACAAAGAUUUUUCAUAUGAAAGAUAUUUUUGAGAUGGUGCUGGAGUUCUUCGAUUGACUGAGAAUCAGACCCUGUAAUGACUAUAUCAUCUAUAUAUACGAAAAGCACAACAAGUCCAGUGGCAGUCUUUUUAAGAAAGAGAAAAGAAUCAAACUGACUCUGAGUAAAAUGAAAUCAAGAAGAGUGUUACAAUGCUCGCGGUGCUUGCUUUAACCCGUACAAAGACUUCUUCAAUCGACAAACCUCAGUGGAAGAAUGAGUGAAAAGACUAGGAGAAGGAGUCAUAUAGAUAUCUUCCUUCAUAUCUCCAUGUAAGAAUGCAUUUUUCACAUCCAUCUGUCGAAGAGCCCAACCUUUGGAAACAACGAUAACUGUCAUAGUACGUACAGAAGUCAUUUUAGCCACAGGUGCAAAGGUCUCCUCAUAAUCAAAACCAUAUUUCUGGCAAUUCCCAAGAGCCACCAAACAAGCAUUAUACCUUUCUAUGGUUCCAUCAGACUAAUGCUUGAUAGUAUAUACCCAUUUACAUCCAAUGAGUUUCGCCCCAUCAGGACAUGGAACAAUGUCCCAUGUAUGAUUAUCUAGUAGGGCCUGAAGUUCUUGCAUAGCUUGUCGCCAACUGGCUUGAGUAGCUACCUAAGAGUAUGAUUUGGGUAUACUUGUAGUAUCAAGAGUAGCAUGCUUAGAAGUAUAAGAGUACACAUACCUAUGUGGAGGAUGAGAAACUCGUGAAGAUCGUCGAGGUUCAAUUGGAAAAGGAUCAGAUGCCGGUUCAGGAUCUAGAAGAAGAGUUGGGGACUGUGGACUGCAUCUUCAGUAAACAAAACCUGUCUUAAAACGUUCAAUAAGGAAUGACACAUCAUCAAAAUUAGAAAGCGUAGCAGAAGUAGAAUCGUUAGGAAUGCAAACUAGAAGAAAUAUUGAUGUUUAAAGGAAAUCAUAUUUCGAGGUGUAUGGAUAGUGUUAGCACUCACAUCAUAACAUACAAACCUUUUAUGUGUAUUACUAUACCCAAGAAAUGCACCCUGAGCAGUAAGCUUAUGAUGUUUAGUGGAGGACACGUAUACAAAACAAACACAACCAAAUAUUUGAAGAGAAUUAUUGUCGAGAACAAUACUAAUCAAAUGAGAAUAUGGAGAGUCAAAUUAUAAGAUUUGAGAAGGCAAAUGAUUAAUCAAAUAAAUAGCCGUAGAUAAGGCUUCUACCCAAAAAUGAGGAGGCACAAAAGAUUCAAUCAACAAAGUAUGAACAACAUCUAAGAGACGAUGAUUCUUACACUCAGCUAUUCCAUUUUGUUGUGGAGUGUAAGGACAAGAACGCUGGGAGAGAAUUUCCUUCAUUUUGAGAUAAUGUUGAAACUCAUUAGACAUAUAUUCUCCCAUAGAGUCAGAGUAUAAGACUAAUGCAAAUAGAAAAUUGGGUCUCAAUAAGAGCAAUAAAAGCCUGAAAAGUGGAGAACACAUUGGUCUUAGAGCGAAAAAAAUAGACCCAAGUAAAGCGACUGUAAUGAUCCAUAAAGGUCACAAAAUACUUGUAUUGAGCAUGAGAAAGUACAGGAAUCAUCCCCCAGUAUGAAAAAUCUCAAAACAGGUGGAAGAUCGGAGACCAUGUGAAGAAAAAGGUAAAAUUUUACUUUUACCUAAUUUACAAGAACCACAACCGCAAGAUGUACCAGAGAAGGAAUCUUUAUUGCCUAAAUAAUCAUGUUUCAUAAGAUGAGCUAAAACAACAUUAUUAGGAUGUCUAAUUUCUUAUGCCAAACAUUACGACCACUGGUAAUAGCAGUACAAGCAAAAGAAUUGAAACUAGAAGCAGCAAAUUAAAUUGAAAAUAAACAUCCCACUUUAGGCCCCUUUGCGAUCACCUUCCUCAACACUUGAUCCUGCACACAACAAUCAUCUGUUGGACCAUCUCAGGUGUAAGAUUAGAUGAAGAACCAGCUAUAUGUGGUUGACCUUGAACAUUAGCCAAAUUUGAUUGAACAGCGAUGUGAAACGCUUGACCUUGUCUAUUUUGAGGCCGCACGUGGCAAUCUUUAAUAAUAUGCCCAUUCUUUUUGCAGUUAUUGCAAAAUUUCUUACUACAAUGCCUUGCAAUAAGUCCAAACUCCUUGCAACUAUAGCUUAGUAUUUGUGACUUGAAUUUACGUUUUCCUUGAGCAGCAUACAGGGAUGAAUCUAGGGGUUGAGUUCAGCUAGGGCGGACCACGAUCGUUGAGAGCUUACUAUCGACGGUCAAUGUUCGUGAUAGCGGGGUUGUUUAUUAAUAUUUAAUUAAAUAAUAUUCAAAACAUCGUAUGGGUUAGAAUUAAAAAAACUAGAUACACCACUAGAACUAGAAUUAGGUAUGAACUUUUAUUUUGGAUGAAAAAAUCAUUCCAUAAUCUGCAAAAUACCCUAAUUUAUUUUUCAAUUAAAUAGGCAAUAUAUAUUAACAAAAUGUCAAUAUUCAAUUUAUAAUUAAAGUUAAUUAAACAAGCAUUAUUAUAUUAACAAAUUUGAAAUUUUUUAUAUGCUUAUAUCAAUUUUAUGUGCUUGUAUGAUUCCACUUUUUCGUAAUCGAUUUUUUGUGAACCAAAAGUGGAACAUUUUAUUAAUUAAAUAAGUUUUGUUGAAAGAUUCUUUGUGACACUAAGGCCAAUUUUCCUACAAAUUCAUCCUCUAUUAAUUGACUGCUCUCAAAUUAAUUGAUUAGAGAGGAAAAAAGAAAAGAAUAGAAAAGAAAAGAAAAAGAACAUCAAGAAGAGCGAUUAAGCAUCAAUUAAAAUGUUUCUACUUACAUUAAACAAGUAAAAUUGAACAUAUAUUAUUUUGUUACAUUAUGCUAGAAAUCAAUAAGUGCCAUGAUGGUAAAGUGGAGGUUCGAAUCACUUUCCUUGCAUUUAUUUUGGUAAAUAUUGUUGAAAUACAAAAAUUAUUAAAAAUAUGGUAAUAAUUGUUGAAAUACAAAAAAUAUUAAAAAUAUUGCACUUAAAGAGUUUCAAACACAAGACCUCCAAUUCAAUGGUAGAAAGGUUAACCAGCUGACCUACUAGAGAUUUUUGUUUUUAAUAUUCAUUAUCAAAUAUAUAAUCUAAAAUUUCUAUCUAUUAUCAGAAAAAAAAUUCUCCCCUGCUAAUCUAGCUAGGGCAGCCACCACCUAAAUCCAUCCCUGGUAGCAUAUGACAUAUUAAUCACCUCAGUAGUCACAGAUUCUCGAUCGAUGGCAAGUUAAGUUACAAGACGCUGCUCUUCACAUAGUAAUUCUCCCAAGCACACAUCCAAUGAGGAAACAUAAUUAUGAUUUAUCAAGCCAGCCCGUGCAGUCUCAAAUUCUAGUUGAGCUUCAUUAGAAAUCGAUCUCUUUAACUCUCAGUAUGGACAUCCUGGAGGGCCGCUAAGGCUUCUUUGGGAACUUCAGAGUAAACUAUCCCAGAGUAUUCACUCCACAAAAUUUGAAAUUCAGCAUAGAACUGCUCAAUAAAAAGAUUAACUUUUUUGAAGUUGGAAAUUUCUAAUUCCAAUUGAAACUUUCAUGCGGUGUUGUCUUGAUAAUAAACACACCUGAGAUAAUCCCACAUCUCCUUAGUAGUGAAAAUGAUCGAAAGUAUUCAGCAUAUGAUGUAACACCCCGAAAUUUUAAGAAAUUAUAUAUAUAUAUAUAGUGGAAAAAGAUAGAUUCUCUUUAAAAAUGCAUUGAUUUGGGAAUUGAUAAGACUGGUGAAUUAAUCUUGAGCCGACACGUAUAGUAGGAAAUGGUCCAUAAAAGUAAGGAAAAUUUGUAGUCGUUUGACCUUGUUCUGCCAAUGUGUCAGUUGACCUUGGUUUAAAGAAAUGGUAAGUUGCCUUGUGAUUAUGGAAACUUUGACUCAUUGGGCCGAUUAAAUAAUUCAGUUACCUUUCUGAUCUUUAUGAUUGAUUGCACGUGUGCAUAUAAGAAGGGUAAACAUUGAUUGAUUGGACCAAUUAAAGAGAUGAAUGUUUGACUAAGAUGUGACGAUUUAAGGAAUGAUUUUUGUCUACCUUAAAUUUUAGUGCUCUAAGUUGGCUAUAAAUAGAUGGACAAUUUUUCUCUUAAAAGCACACAUUUUGACACGAUUAUAGAGACGAGAAGUUGUGGACGUAUAGCUUUUCUUCCAACAAGUCUUUUAUUCAAUCAAGGUAGGAUUACAAGGUGCAAGUGGUUAGCCCCGUUUAAUUUAUUUCUUCAUGUUGAGAAAUGUUAUACUCAUAAAAGUUAUGAUAUGAUAUGAUUAUGAUGUGAUAUGAAAUGGCCAUCCGGUACCAAAGAUAUGAUAUGAUAUGAGCUCUUACCGGAAUCUAAAGAUAUGAUAUGACUGUAUGAUUAUUUUGAUGCCUGAUUGAAUAUUUUAUUCGGGAUCGCACCAUUAAUCAUAUCCUACUGAGUAUAAAUUACUCAUUCCUUCAAUUUUUAACAUCUCAGGUUAGGUCGGUCGACGGAGAUGGUGGCUAAGCGGUGCGCGGGUUGCCAAGUAAAGAAAGUUCUCAAAAAAUUAAUAAUAAUAUUUAUGGAUAUUUAUGUUGGAAUUUAUAUAUUUUUAUUUCCAUUUAAUGCUUUAAAUUCAAUGACAUUUUUAUUUUAUUAAGUGUUUUAAAUUUCCAAUUAAAUUUUUCCGCUUCAAGUAUGUAUAUGAAAUGAUAUCGGUAAUACCUCAAAUUUAAGUUCUUAAAAUUUGGGGCGUUACAUAUGAGGUUCAAUAGAACCUAGUAACCAUGAGAUAAUGCAUGCAUCCUUACUUUCCCAUUGAUUAAGCUCCUUUAAAUCAAUAGGAGCGAUAGAUGAGCUAUUUAAAUGACCCCACAAUUCUUUUCCUCUUACAAACAUCAUGAAUUGAAAUUCCCAGGUCGAAAAGUUCUUUCCAUUAGAUCGAACAAUAGAAUUUUCUCCAGACAUAAUGAAUUGGAAUAAAAGAAAACUCAAGAGGCUAAAAUAGUAAUUCAAGACCUGUACCAGAAAGAAAUAAGAACCAUGAACAGCUGAUAGGUCCAAUUCUAGAUAACAAAAGCCAAUUUAAGCAAUUCGAGUCUUCAAAUGAGCCCAAGACAAUAGAAACCCACUAGAAAUAGCCCAAUUCUUCAACAUUCCAACCCAAUGACACCACAGCAAAGGAACAAUUCAGCAGAAGAGCCUGUUGACACCAAAAAGAUUAUGCAAAAACUUCCUUUCUACGCCACAGAAAUCUGUAAACAGAUCUAUAUCAACCCAAAAAUCACCAAUAGAACCUUCCCCGAUAUUUUUGGCAGCCAAAAUUGAAGAACUUCAACCAAGAAACUCAGAAAUCUAUAUACGAGGUAGCCCCUACUAUCACUCGGGAAUCAUUUUAUACAAGGUAAAUGUUGAAUUCUUGAAUUAGAAACCUUAAAUUAAACUCCAUAAAAGGAUAAGAACAAAUACACUCCAUGAAAGGAGGUAAACAAACCUCCAUGAAAGGAGAGAGAGAAAUAAAAUCCAAUGAUUUCUCAAUGCAUACAAUGACUCUAUUUUAUAGAGAAAAUGGUAGAAUAAUUAACUAAAGUUCUAACUAAUCAACCAACUAACCUAACUAACUAACAUAACUAAACUAGCUAACUAACUAAACAGCUGGAGACAAAGUAGAUUCUAGAAUCUUGUGAGUUGGCUGAGCUGGAAGGAAGAUUUUGAUGUCGUUGGUUGAUCCACUGAUGUUUAGUGCAUGUAUAUUCUAACACACCCCCUUCAAGAUGGACUAUGGAGAUAAAAAAUAGUCCGCCUUGAAGAUUAAGGAAAACCUUGUACAAGGGGCCAAGAUUGGCAAAGUGUAGAAUGCCUUGUUGAAUGGAACAGCUGAUAUCGAGGAAAACCUAAUUCUAGUAAAAGUAGCUAAUAUCCUAAGAAUGCUGAGCAAAGUCCUAAGAAUACACGGAAAUACUUUCCACUUUUUCAAGUAGAUGUCCGGUGGCAAUUGGACCAAUUUCCGAAUUCUAGCUUAAAUCCUUAACUCGAUGAUGUUAGAGAAUCCAGAAGAAAAUGAAGAGAAAUUUUAUUACAGAGAGUCAAGGAUGAAGUGCAGCAGAUGCUGUUGCGAUGCACUAGAUAUACUGAAGAUCUACUAAGUAGGGAUUACCUCUUUGAUCUCAAAUUCUCUGUUUCCACAUACAGUGCUUUUGGAGUGGUGCUUACAUCUUCCUCGUUGAAAAAAAAAUACUCAUAUACUGAAGGCCAAAAUGGUGAAUUGAUGUUCAUAAAUCUAUCUGAAGUUAAAAUCUUCAAACAAGAAACUUCCAAAUUGAAAGCAACAUCCUGAUUUCAUGGUACAAAAUUUAUAUGAUUCUGAAGCUAAAGUUAGCUUCAGAUGCAUACAAAUUGGUAGAUGAUCUGAAGCCAAAGAUAUCUUCAGAUGCAGACAAAUUGGGAGAUGAUCUAAGGCCAAAGACAUCAUCAGAUUUCAUCAGCUUUGAUACCAGUAAAAUGCUGAAAAAAAUGAAGACAGCAAUAGGAAGCAAUUAUGCUCUGAUACCAUGUUGAAUUCUUGAAUUAGAAACUUUGAAUUACACUCCAUAAAAGGAGAAGAACAAAUACACUCCAUGAAAGGAGGAAAACAAACCUCCAUGAAAUAAGGAGUUGGAAUACAAUCCAAUGAUUUCUCAAUGCAUACAAUGACUCUAUUUAUAGAGAAAAUGGUAGAGUAAUUAACUAACUUUCUAGCUAAUCAACCAACUAACCUAACUAACAUAACAAAACUAGACAAUCUAGAAUCUGGAAUCUGGUGAGUUGGCUGAGCUGGAAGGAAGAUUUUGAUGUUGUUGGUUGAUCUACUGAUGUGUGGUGCUGGUAUAUUCUAAUAGUAAAUACAAUUAUUGUCUAUCAACUUAUAGCUGUAUAUGUUAACACGCAGACAUUGUUUAAUUUUCCAUUGAUCUAGGCAUAAUUAGUCGUGAUCUUAUUUUAGGAUAUUUUUCUAUAUGUUAUCGAUUUGUUCAAUGUCAACUGCUAUUGAAGCAUUAGAAGAUAACAACAAAAAGAAGAAUUUAAAGUUUAUCUCCAAUAAAGUGGGUCCUUUUCUGUCUAACCCUUGGUUUUUAUUUUAGUUUGUGAAGUGGAUCGGACUUGUUUCUGACCAGACUACAUGAAAAACUAUAGUAAAAGUUAAAUAUUAGAUGGAAAGUGCCCCAACAGCCUAAAAAUUUGGGAAAGCUUUUGUUUAGUGCAAUGGUUUUGCUCCAUUGAAAGAACUAUACUUCAGCACUAACCUAAGGAGCAGUUAAAUAUAGUUGUGGUUGGGCUCGACAUGUGCCUAGAAUCUUAUUUGAAAAACUAUAUUGUUGUGAUGGCAGAAGUGGGGGUGGACAGUGGAGGGGCUAUGGGGUACCGGCCUCAAGUUUCAUGACCAUUUCCCCUCCUCCCCUCCCCAUGCAAGGUAUUUUUUGAGAUGGGCUUCUUUUUGUCUUUUGCUCAACUUUCUUCCUUGCCUAACAAGUUGCUAAAUAGUUGAGGUCAAAGUCAACAAUUAAUUUUAAUCAUAUAUUAUAUCAACUUUUAUCAAAAUCUACUAAAACUUUUAUCAAAAUCUUUGUCAAAAAAUCUCUUAAUUUGUUUUAUUUUCUAGUUUUGCCCUAUCUUCUCUUUCUGUAACAUAUUCUAUUCAAAAUUUUCUCUUUGGAUUACACCCUUGGUAAAAGAUGUCUUCGAGACAAGAAUGGUCUAAAGGAUUGCACCCAAUGUUAACUUUCUCAAGGUCUAAAGACUAUGCAUCUGUAUCCUUUGUAGUUCAGAACUGAUAAUUUUACUUAUCCAAGUUUAUAAGGACCUUUGUAUAACAUGUAGUUAUCUAACCCAAAAAAGAAGGUAUGACUUGCAUGAUUUUACGUCCUUGUUUUGGCUCCAUUAAAAAAAAAAAAAAAAAAAAACAUUUUUCCAAGCCUCAUUUUAACCACACUUUCGAUAAAAUAAUAUUAUACAUAUACUCAAAAACUUUUCCUUUUUAACACCACAUUUUCCAAAAAAUUAUUAUACCAAAAUACAUUUUCCUAAAACUUCAUUAAAAUGGAACCCAAACGAGGACUAUAUCUAUCGAGUUCGUCAAUUAGUUAAAGUGAGCUCAAUUGUAUCGAAUUUGGGUUAUGCUUGAGCACUUUUUUUUUCUUGAAAAAUGAGUUUUGUAGUAGUGAUUUUUAGCUUUUCCUCUUUCUAAAUGUCAAGAAAAUUACAAAUUCUAUAUAAUUAACUAUUGUAAAUAUUAUAAUGUAGAAGACCUUAUUUAUAGGGUUUUAACUAACUCUAAAAUGAAAUAAUUGUAAAAGGAAAUAAUGUAAAACAAAAGAUUGUGUAAUAAUUACACAAUUAAUUAUUAAGUAAAGUAAUCCUACACUACCGGAAAACUAUUAAAGAGAAAUAUUGAUCAUAUAUAUUAUUAUACUCUACUAACAUCCCUCCUCAAAUUGAUACUGGUAAAAGCAUCAAUUUGUAAUCCCGAACUGGAUGUGCUGUCGAGUCAACAUUUUCGUAGAACCCAUAAACUAAUAAUUCAACAUUGUUGAGCUUCAAACUCAAGAACUAAUUCAAAACUCGAUAUGAUUCCUAGCAAAUAAUCAAUGUUCGGCCAGAAACUGAGGGCGCUAACAAAUCAUUACCAAAACUCCGAAUGCUCGCACCACACUUGAUGCAUCGAAGAGACACACUUAACAAAAAAUUUGUGAACUGUGGACAAUCACAAGAAACCCACACCUAAAAGGCUGAGUUAUGACCAAAGAGAAUCUGAGAUCCAACCACUCCAAAGAUACUCUAGAUAACUUACUCCCCAAGAAAAAUUUUCAAAAGAAAUUCACGAAGUGUGCUGACCCACACAGUGAGCUCUAUCUGUCGGGAGAACUCAGUCGAACACAUAAUUCGUGUUCCGACAUAAGCUCUAACGCCAAUACACUGGCCAAAAUUCAGCAAUAUUGCUGAGCAAGUUGCUACAGUUGAAAGAAAUCCCACCAAACAGUUUACACAAAAAAUGUCAAUUGAACUUAACAUACCAACUCCAAAAUCGAACUAUGCCAAAUUCCAAAUUCCAGAUAUAUUGGACCAACACCAAACCAAAUUUUCAUCCCAAUUACAACCAAACCGGCCCAAAAUGAAGCCCACGCUAAACUAAGAGAAAACAAUCAAACUAAAUCGCUACAAUCCAAACUAAAUUCCCAGAAGCUCAAUAAAGGACCAGAUGAACUGAAUUUCUCGAAUUACCACAUGCAAAAUUAGUUUCCAUCAAAUUCAAAUUUCGUAUCCUAUAAAAUCCAAGAUAAGUCCAGAAAACCCACCUAUUGUUGAAGAUCCAACUUAUUGGCUAACCUAAUAACCACUAGCCCAGUAGGCCCAACAAUAUGCAACAAUAACAAACAACUCAUAUCUUAAAUCACCCAGCCCUACUAAGCUCCAACACCAAUUAAAUUACCUAACCCACAAAAAGAAUCCAGAACACAAACAGGCCCAAAUCUAACAAAUCACAGCCCAAUACCAAAUCAACCGGAAUUAAUAACCCAACAGCCCAAUAAACAAAUCAACAAACCCAUCACUAGCUCAACCCAAUUACACUAUUACUUGGCCCAUUCUUCAUCUUCUGUAUCCUUAUCUCACAGAUGUCGUCUCCCCUAACUGUAUGGGUGACCACCUCGCGCCGAUCAACCACACUUCCACUCGUAUCACCAAUUUGCCACUUCCUAAUAAUUGAAUCACCGUUGCUGCAAUUGUACAAUAACCCAAACCCAUACGACCACAUCUUCCAGUCUACCUCCAAUGCCUCGGUUUGACGCUUUUGCUCUAUCGAUCGUACACUCAACACAACAAAGACACCGACCAGAGGGGUGUUUAUAACGGCGUUCCUGAUCGUCGCCCUUUGCAACAAGUUCGUCACCUGAUCCAUGACCUUUAAAACAAUUUGUAGCACACACCCCUUACAUCUACCACCACGACAGUUAUUACAGAUUGAUGAAGAAGCCAAUUGCAAAAAAAAAAAAAAUAGAUCUUUUCAAUAAAAUUGAAGAUGCUGACUGCUUCUGCCUAAAAUCGAGAUCGACACGAAGUACUGACUGUCUAAAAAAAUUGAGUUGCUGAUAGCCCAGCUAUAAAACUGUUGAUUGAGCCUUUAGGAAGGGUUCAACAUAUUGAAAAUCGCCAAUAGUCCUCCAAGUUCACGCAGAAAGUGCUGAUUGAAUUGGAUUUUCUAGUAGUCCGAAAUUGUGGAGGCCACCAAUUCUAGAAGACGAAUGCAAAAUAAUCUCUAAAUGAGGGGGCUACUAUGUCAGUUUAUUUGAAUCUUUUACGAUUGAGAUGUACAGAAAGAAAAUUUGACCGGACGAGUGGCACGAGGCCGCUUGCCGGAGAACAAAAAGCUUACAAGUUUAACCAACGAAGUUAAACCUUUUCUAAUACCAUGUCAAGAAAAUUAUAAAUUCUAUAUAAUAAACUCUUGUAAACAUUACAAUGUAGAGACCCUAUUUAUAGGGUUGUAACUAACUCUAAAAGGAAAUAAUUGUAAAAGAUAAUAACGUAAAAGGAAAGAUUGUGUAAUAAUUACAUAAUCAAAAAGAUUGUGUAAUAAUUACAUAAUCAAUUACUAAGGAAAAUAAUCCUACACUAUUGAAAAACUAUCAUAGAUAAAUUUUUAUCAUAUAUAUUAUUAUACUCUACUGACACUAAAAGAAUAAGCCCCUAUUUUGCCUUAGAUUUUAAUUAGGGUUAAAGUCAAACAAUCAAUAUUCACCACAUUUUUCAUGGUUUUCACAACUUUUCAAUCAUAAAUUUCAAAAAUUUUUGUCAAAGUAUACUAAAAAUCUAAUUUUAGUCCCCACCAAACCACCUCGAAAGUUUUUUUGAUAUAUUUAUUUAACCAGUUAAAAAAAUUGAAGUGAAGUUAGCACCUUCACCUAGUUCUAUCAAACUCAAUUGGUUCAAUAGCUUAACCUCUCCUUGCUUGUUAAGAAUGUGUAGUUAAAUAGUAAAAAAAAUUUGGGUUUUUGUGAAAAAUAAUUUUAUUGAGAGAUUAUAUGAUUAAAAAUGAAUUUUUAGAUAGUGGAGAAGAAGGAAUGGAAUGGAGGAGGGAUAAAUGCAUCAGAAAUGGUAGCCUCGAUGUCCAACAAGAUGCCAAGUGUUUGCUAUUCCUAUGCUCUCCUACAAAAUCAGUGUCUUUCAUAUUUAUAUUCUCUAGAACUAAUUUGUGAAUUCUAUUGUCCACAUUUUACCACCUCUGUCUCAAGUUGACCUAUCUUUAUCUUUGUAUAAAAUAUGAACUUGAAAGCCAUCACUAUAAAGGAAGUAAGUGUCUCAAGUUGACCUUUCUUUAUCUUUGUAUAAAAUAUGAACUUGAAAGCCAUCACUAGGAAGGAAGUAAGUGUUUUCUCUUCUAUAGCCACUAGAUUUAAGCCAAGUUCUCUUUCAGUGAAUGAGGGAACGAAUGGGUGGGUUUAAUUGUUUAGGUGUUUGAUAAGUGUGUUUUUGCACACUUAUUUAGGUCACAAACAUGAUUUAAUAACAAGCAAAAUGAUUGAAUUGUGACUUAAUCUCAUUACAUUUGUGAAUUAUAGGGAACACCGAUGAACAUGGUGAAAUUCAGGAGAAAAGAAGCGAAAAAAGACUAAAAUGAUGCAAAGUGAAAGUUUAGGGACCAAGGUGCAAUUAUCCAAAAGUUGACCCGAUAAACAAAUCGAGAAAUUGAUUAAGCCAAGUGCCAAUUGGUGAUAUCUUGGGAUGAUGGAAUGGAAAGAAUGAAGAAAGGAUGCCAAGAAGUGAAGGAUUCAAGUAGAAGGACCAAAAUGGACAUCUUCCAUAGUUGGUAGCACUAUGCGACCGCAUAAUGCUACCCUCUAUGCGGCCGCAUAGAGGUAAAUCGAAAACCAAAGGCCACAAAAUCUCUAUGCGGUCGCAUAGAGCAUUUUUAUGCUAAAUCCGUAGUUUCCUUAUUUCGCCGAAACUCUUAUGGAAACAAUAUUUUUAAAGUCCUAUAUAAAUAAAAACUCGACCAGAACGAGAGGGACGCCGUUUUUACAAGUUUUUGAGAGAUUUUGAAGGAGAAACGAAGGGAGAACAAGAGGAAAAUAUCGCGCCAAGUGAAGAUUCGAUUGAAGCUUGAUUCGGGUGAUGAUGUUUCUUUAACUAUUUUUGUAUUUUCUUCUUUUUAGCAUGUUAUGCUAGAUUUUUCAUUGCCGGGAGAUCGAUGAACCUUGUAAUACUACGUUUGAUUUUUGAUUUGGAUAUUUGACAUAUUUAAACGCAUGUUCCGGAAUUGAAUGAUUUAUUUCGUUUUUAUUUUCAUAUUAUUAUUGUGCACGUAAUUAUAUGAUUUUGGUGGCCUAUUUUGUGCAUUCGAAAGAAGGAAAAUAGGUUCGACAUAGUAUAAAUCAUCAUAAGGUCCGAUAGGGGAUAGAAAUAUAACUCCAUGCCUUGUGUGAAUUGGUGAAUAUUCAUGAAAUCAUAAUGCAUUUCGGUGUUUUAGUAUUCGUCAUAGAGAUAUAGUCGAAUCACAUAUUGGGGUAGGUUUGACAUUGCUCGAGAGAAAUUGCUAAAUUAAAAUAGGAAUAUUGAUUCAUCUUUUGUGGAACUGUGUGUUAAACUUGCACGAUUAAAAAUUGAAAGGGUAUUGUUUGGGGAUUCAUGAUCCUAGUGCGUUAGUACAUUCAUUAAUUCCAUAAAUUCUAGUAGAUUGUGUCCAAGUCAUUUGCAUUUAGUAUAAUUCUCUCAUCCAUAAUUGCAUCAUAGUUUAUAUCUUCUUUAGUUAAAUCACAAUACAUAAAUUUUAUCUUCGUAUUUCGGUUAAGGUUAUAAUAGGUUGAUUUGAAUUAAUUCAAUCCUUGUGGGAUCGAUACUUGGACUCAUAGUCCAUUUUACUACUUGUUAACGAACCGUACACUUGUGGUGGAUUUUAAUUCGAAACAAAUAAUUUCGUGAACAGUAGGUAUAUAGGAAGUGGUUGUAGUCUGAAAAUAUAACGGUGUGGGUGGCAACAAUUACAAGCUAGAAAAGAAAUUGUGUGGAGAGAUGGG